UGAUUUAAUAUGAGGUUUGACCUGCUCUAUGAUUUAUUAAAUGGCCGCGGUAUUUUGACUGUGCAAAGGUAGCAUAAUCAUUAGUUUAUUAAUUGUGAACUUGUAUGAAUGGUUUGACGAAAUAUUAACUGUUUCUUAUAUAAAAUUAGAAUUUAAAUUUUGAGUUAAAAUGCUUAAAUUUAUUUUAUUAGACGAGAAGACCCUAUAGAUCUUUAUUAUUUUUUAUAUUAUAUUUUUGGUUUUAUUUAAUAUUCUGAAUUUUUUUUGGGGUGACAUGGAGAAAGUUUUAAUUAAACUCUUUUUUUUUAUUUACAUUUAUUUAUGAAUAUUUGAUUUUAUUUUAAUUAUUAAAGAUUAAGAUACCUUAGGGAUAACAGCGUUAUUUUUUUUGAGAGUUCAUAUUGACAAGGAAGAUUGCGACCUCGAUGUUGGAUUAAGAUUAUUAAAAGGUGCAGCAGCUUUUUUAAUAGGUCUGUUCGACCUUUAAAUUCUUACA
rnacentral:rRNA from 1 species